AGUGAACGCUGGCGGUAGGCCUAACACAUGCAAGUCGAACGGCAGCACAGUAAGAGCUUGCUCUUACGGGUGGCGAGUGGCGGACGGGUGAGGAAUACAUCGGAAUCUACUUUUUCGUGGGGGAUAACGUAGGGAAACUUACGCUAAUACCGCAUACGACCUACGGGUGAAAGCAGGGGAUCUUCGGACCUUGCGCGAUUGAAUGAGCCGAUGUCGGAUUAGCUAGUUGGCGGGGUAAAGGCCCACCAAGGCGACGAUCCGUAGCUGGUCUGAGAGGAUGAUCAGCCACAUUGGAGCUGAGACACGGUCCAGACUCCUGCGGGAGGCAGCAGUGGGGAAUAUUGGACAAUGGGCGCAAGCCUGAUCCAGCCAUACCGCGUGGGUGAAGAAGGCCUUCGGGUUGUAAAGCCCUUUUGUUGGGAAAGAAAAGCAGCAGGUUAAUACCCCGCUGUUCUGACGGUACCCAAAGAAUAAGCACCGGCUAACUUCGUG
rnacentral:rRNA from 1 species